GAUGAACGCUGGCGGCGUGCCUAAUACAUGCAAGUCGAGCGAACGGACGAGAAGCUUGCUUCCCUGAUGUUAGCGGCGGACGGGUGAGUAACACGUGGAUAACCUACCUAUAAGACUGGGAUAACUUCGGGAAACCGGAGCUAAUACCGGAUGAUACUUUGAACCGCAUGGUUCAAAAGUGAAAGACGGUCUUGCUGUCACUUAUAGAUGGAUCCGCGCUGCAUUAGCUAGUUGGUAAGGUAACGGCUUACCAAGGCAACGAUGCAUAGCCGACCUGAGAGGGUGAUCGGCCACACUGGAACUGAGACACGGUCCAGACUCCUACGGGAGGCAGCAGUAGGGAAUCUUCCGCAAUGGGCGAAAGCCUGACGGAGCAACGCCGCGUGAGUGAUGAAGGUCUUCGGAUCGUAAAACUCUGUUAUUAGGGAAGAACAUAUGUGUAAGUAACUGUGCACAUCUUGACGGUACCUAAUCAGAAAGCCACGGCUAACUACGUG
rnacentral:rRNA from 1 species